rnacentral:rRNA from 1 species
GACGAACGCUGGCGGCGUGCUUAACACAUGCAAGUCGAGCGGUAAGGCCCUUCGGGGUACACGAGCGGCGAACGGGUGAGUAACACGUGGGUGACCUGCCCUUAGCCCUGGGAUAAGCCUGGGAAACUGGGUCUAAUACCGGAUAUGACCUCAUGACGCAUGUUGUGGGGUGGAAAGCCUUGUGCGGCUAGGGAUGGGCCCGCGGCCUAUCAGCUUGUUGGUGGGGUGAUGGCCACCAAGGCGACGACGGGUAGCCGGCCUGAGAGGGCGACCGGCCACACUGGGACUGAGACACGGCCCAGACUCCUACGGAGGCAGCAGUGGGGAAUCUUGCGCAAUGGGCGAAAGCCUGACGCAGCGACGCCGCGUGAGGGAUGACGGCCUCGG